GAAAUGCAAUUUUAUUCACGUUACGGGAUUACUGAGAAGACGCAAACAGCAGGAGGAGGGUUGUGCUGUCAGUCGCAGCUGCAGCUGACCCAAAACUGGUACCAGUACCGUGGAACAGCUGCUCAGCUACGUGAGCUUCCAGAUGAAACAACACCAGCUUUUUGUCAGUUUUAAGGAGCAAAGAAUGGAUGAUAAAACUUUUAAAGAAUCAGUCAGAGCAGAAACAAGAACUAAAGAAGAAAAAAGUAAAGACAUAACAGAGAAGAAGAUACACGUUAAGAGCAAAAUCCGAGUGAGAAAGAAGAGGAGUGAGGAAGAAAAAGAAAGAAAGGGAGCACAGGAUGAGACGACUGCCUGGAAAGACGAUUAGUAUUCAUGUGGCGUGGUGCUCCAGAGAGGAUUAAUGGACUCUGAUGCCUAAUAUCCUGGAGAACAAUUAAUUUGCCCACAGUUUUGUCAUGGUUGAAAGUCAAAUGCUGGAACAGAUCGAUGCGCACAGCCGCCAGUGAAAUAGCGGCAGCCCCUUCUGCCAGGCGCAGAAUUUUAAUUUCAUCAUCAUCAUUUUCCCCGCCUGCCACCCUCGACGAAGCUGUCCAUGACAUGGCUGAGAGGGCCGCCACAUCCCGACAGGCAUGGUGCACACACACACAAACACACACAAAAUGCUUGGUUAACACACAAACAUACCACACACUCUGAUACACUGACACUUUCAGCAAAGAACACGCAUACAUGCAUUCUCACAAACACACAGAAAGUCAUCAAAUACAAAAACAAGUUGAAGGAACUUCAGAACUUAUACAAAGUGAUACUUUUGUAUGGCUUUGUAAAAUUUAAUAUAUAUUUGUAGAGGUUUUGUACAUAAAGGACCCUCUUAUCUACAGGGCCAACUUUUCGCAAAGAUUCACCAUUUCUAAAAUGAUAUUUAACACUUUUUUAUCUAAAUGUUACCAUUAAGGUUUUUUUUUUUUCGAGUGUUAUAUAUGUUUGUUUUAAUGGUAAAUUUGGUUGUUAAAGUUUGUUUUAUGAAACUUUGGUUUUUGUUACCAGUUUUGGCCAGGGCACUCAUGUACUGAGAUUUUUAAUCUCACUGAGUUUUUCUCUCUCCUGGUAAUUUGAAAGAUGAAAAAAUGAAUUAAUAAACUACAUAAUCCACAUUAAACCAUUAUGGAUGAAGAAAUUUUCAAAUUGUAGUUUUUCUGUUAAAAAAUAAAGGUAAGGUUUUAUGUAUG